UACGUAGGGCGCAAGCGUUGUCCGGAAUUAUUGGGCGUAAAGAGCUCGUAGGCGGUUUGUCGCGUCUGUCGUGAAAGCUUGGGGCUUAACCCUAAGUCUGCGGUGGAUACGGGCAGACUAGAGACAGGUAGGGGAGAACGGAAUUCCCGGUGUAGCGGUGAAAUGCGCAGAUAUCGGGAGGAACACCAGUGGCGAAGGCGGUUCUCUGGGCCUGUACUGACGCUGAGGAGCGAAAGCGUGGGGAGCGAACAGG
rnacentral:rRNA from 1 species